GGGCCAUUAGCUCAGUUGGUUAGAGCAGAAGACUCAUAAUCUUUUGGUCCGAGGUUCAAGUCCUUGAUGGCCCA
rnacentral:tRNA from 1 species